rnacentral:rRNA from 1 species
AGUGAACGCUAGCGGUGCGCCUAACACAUGCAAGUCGAGCGACUCUUCGAGAGGAGCGGCGAACGGCUGCGUAACACGUUGGAACCUGCCCCAGACUCAGGGAUAACUUCGCGAAAGCGGGGCUAAUACCGGAUGGUCUCGUAAGAGUAAAGCUUUUGCGGUCUGGGAGGGGCCUGCGGCCUAUCAGCUAGUUGGUAAGGUAAUUGCUUACCAAGGCUAUGACGGGUAGCUGAUCUGAGAGGAUGAUCAGCCAGAAUGGAACUGAGACACGGUCCAUACUCCUACGGGAGGCAGCAGUGAGGAAUCUUCCGCAAUGGGCGAAAGCCUGACGGAGCGACACCGCGUGAAGGAUGACACCCUUUUCGGGCGUAAACUUCUGUUCUGAGGGACGAAACUUUUGACGGUACCUCAGGAGAAAGCACCGGCUAAUUCCG